rnacentral:rRNA from 1 species
UACAGAGGGUGCGAGCGUUAAUCGGAAUUACUGGGCGUAAAGCGUGCGCAGACGGUCACGUAAGUCGGGUGUGAAAGCCCCGGGCUCCAACCUGGGAAUUGCAUUCGAGACUGCGUGGCUAGGGUGCGGAAGGAGGGAAAGCGGGAAUUUCCGGUGUAGCGGUUCGGAAAUGCGUAGGAUAAUCGGAAGGAACACCAGUGGCGAAAGGCGGACAUUCCUCGGUCCAG